UUGGCUUUUCUACAGAAACAGGCACUGGAAUCAAGUUGACUCAUAAACAACAACAAAUUAUCCAGCUGCUGAGUGUUCAUUGAUUUGAUUAUAUACAGUAUCAUCAUGAGAGCCAAAUUAUUGGAUCAUGUAAUCUAUCUCCUAUAUAUUUGCCUUAUUAUAAGUCUGUGCCUGGCCCUCUAACGCUGGGCGGAGUCACAGUGGUGGGUGGAGUUACAGGCCUGGGUGGAGUUAGCAGCUCCUGCCCUGUCCUAGCACACCACUAGCAGAACGGAGCAGCAGCCACAUAAUCCACCCAACAUCCCCACACAGAAGCCGCCAGGGGAUACCACAGUGCCAGAGACCCGGACUGCACGUCACAGGGCCCCUGGGCUGCCGGCUCCACAGGCCAGAGACGGGGGGACAGCGCGCCUGCUACUGUGGACGCUGCACCAACCUCACAGGGUGUUACUACGGAAUAAUCCAGGCUGGCCUGCCAAACAUCCUGCUUUUAUAUAUAGAGGUGGCAGUACAUCCUGAUGAUCAAAUAACAAAGUGCACGUGGCUCAAGUUACAGUACCUUCACUAUGAUAUGAAUGCAGUGACUGGUGCUCUUCCUGGUAUAGAAGAUUAGGAAUGAUCUUGAUUAAGGGACUACGAAAUACAUACGAUAUACCGGCUGUCAGUAUCCCGACAGCAGCAUCCUGGCAGCGAGCGCAGCUCGUAGCACUCUAUACCCAUCGGGCGUGGCAAGGUUAUAUUCCCACAGGUUACAUUGCCACUUGGAUUGUGGUGUGGAUCCACCACCCAAAUGGGAAGACGGGGUAGCGGCCAGGAUUCCGACCGCCGGCAUUUAGCCACCUGUCGGGAUCCUGCACGCCGGGAUCAACAGGCGGUAUAUUAACCACAUACCUGGACUACAAGAUCUAAAACAGAAUGACACAAAGGCUGUACAAAUACCUCAAAAAAAGUAAAUCAAAGACAAAUGAAAAUGGCAAAUGACAACCAGCUUGUAUGUACUGAGUGCAUAACA